rnacentral:rRNA from 1 species
GAUGAACGCUGACAGAACGCUUAACACAUGCAAGUCCACUUGAACUUCGGUUUGGGUGGCGGACGGGUGAGUAACGCGUAAAGAACUUGCCUCACAGAUAGGGACAACAUUUGGAAACGAAUGCUAAUACCUGAUAUUAUGAUUAUAUGGCAUCGUAUAAUUAUGAAAGCUAUAUGCGCUGUGAGAGAGCUUUGCGUCCCAUUAGCUAGUUGGAGAGGUAACGGCUCACCAAGGCGAUGAUGGGUAGCCGGCCUGAGAGGGUGAUCGGCCACAAGGGGACUGAGACACGGCCCUUACUCCUACGGGAGGCAGCAGUGGGGAAUAUUGGACAAUGGACCAAGAGUCUGAUCCAGCAAUUCUGUGUGCACGAUGAAGUUUUUCGGAAUGUAAAGUGCUUUCAGUUGGGAAGAAAAAAAUGACGGUACCAACAGAAGAAGUGACGGCUAAAUACGUG